rnacentral:lncRNA from 1 species
AAAAUAGGUUCUGCCAGUUCUGCAGAUACAGCUAAUGCCACGCCGUCUCAGUCACUCACCCUUACUUUUGUCUACUAGGUACAAGACAAUGCCUUGUACCUUCCAGGGGGGGUGGAAGGCAAGGACAAGCUGUCUCCACACCCUGGAGGAUUACAGUGGAAGAACUCGAGAAAAGGGAGCGACAUAAAUAGACACCACCACCCAUCGUGCAGCCCUGACACUCAUGCCUGCCAGUUUUUGGACUCAGAGUUGAGUGCAGAGAAAGACAUGUAACAAAUGGUGACGGUGUUGGGCAUGGGUCAUGAUAAUAGUAUGACAGAAACAAAAGACAGCGUCUGAUUCUGCCUGCGGGAGCCCAGGAGUCUUCAAGGAGGGAACAUUGGAGACAAGUCCUUGAGGGCACCUGGAGACCCGUGGUGCAGACAGCUGGGCAGGUUCUCCAGGUAGACGUCACAGUACCUGCAGAACUCCGUGCAGAGGAACAUGGUGUGAACCAGGUCUGAAGGGCGAGAAGCUCUUUCCUCAGAAGAGCUGCAGGCAAGGUGCAGCGUGGUCCUUUUCAUUUUGAACCUGUUGUCCCACGAACAAUGAGGGCAGAAGGACAUCUUGGGCACAGCAGACAGCCACAUGUGUGCAGAUGUGCCUCACGCCCUCUCCCUGUUUUAUUGGACUUCCACUGGGAAGGAGCUGUUCAUGUCAUGUAGGCCCA